ACAAAUUGGUUGUAAUUCGUAUCCUAUCAAGUCAAGGUUUCUGUUCCGCCAGUAGCUAAUCACACACGUAAGACACAUUUGUCUAAAGUAGAAAAAUCAAGAAUAUGACUUUAACGAAGAAAAACAUUACAUUUUUCAUAUUAUAAGCUUUGCAAAACAAACCAGUUUGAAUGAAAUCCAUCAUCAUCAUCAAGUAAGGAAACCCUAAUAUUUUUUACAUAGAUCAUAAUCUUCGGAUUAUCACCAUGUCCGACGAUGAUGAUAGAAGAUAUGGUCCUUUUGGCGGUAAUCAUCACGCUAAAUUCAAUGUCAAUGGAAGAAUCAUGAUGACAGCCAUCAUUUGCUUGUUCGUCGUCAUUGUACUCGUUCUUAUGUUACAUAUAUAUGCUCGUUGUGCCUUCCUGCGUCAUGCAAGACGUCGUGCUGCUCUCCGUCAAUUUGCUAUUGGUGGAGGUACAGAACAAAUUCGUUUGAAUGAACAUGAACCUAAAAGAGGAUUAAAUCCAUCAGUUAUUUCUUCUCUGCCAUCAUUUGUUUAUAAACAAGUUGAUUACCAUAUUGAUCAUACAAUUGAAUGUUCAGUUUGUAUAAGUUCAUUAGAAGAUGAAGAAAUUGCUAGGAUUUUACCAAACUGUAAUCAUACUUUUCAUGCCGAGUGCAUCGAUAUGUGGUUAGUUACUCACUCUACAUGUCCUAUUUGUCGUAUGGAAGCCGAGCCAUUAGUCCAACAGGUGGAACAGGAACAUACCGGCAGCGUCCCAGUUCUUCCGGUGACCACACCUACGGCUCCUCCAGAGAAUUUGACUAAUCCUACAUCGAUGCCAUGUUCCGAGGGUGCGUCUGAUAAUAUUACGGAACAAUCUGCAAAAAUUAGUACUGGUUCAACUUCGAGAUUGAGUUCGUUUAGGAGGAUGCUUAGCAGAGAAAGAUCAAGCAGAAGAAUGCAACCCAGGGCAGUCUGACGUUGUUGGAGAUAUUGGGAGGCAGUGAAAUUAACGAUAUCAUCUCCAAGUCGUCAAAAUACAUAAAAUAUAUUGGUUUGGGAAAUCUGACGUCCUUCAAGGCUCAGGCAGAUGGAAGGUUACACUACAACUGGGCAGAAAUUUGGUUUGGCAAUCUGAUGCCCUUCAAGGCUCAAGCAAACUGGAAUUUUACUCGAGGCUUUGGAAAAGGGUGAAAAGAAGUGAGAUGGUCUUGGGAUUUUACGGCUUGACAUUUUGGGUUCUGCUAGUUGGCGUCGCUCUCACCAGCCAUAGAAUUCUACUCUCCUUGCCCCCGGAUGUAGAUUCGUA